UGGGAGAGGAUGGUAGAAUUCCAGGUGUAGCGGUGAAAUGCGUAGAGAUCUGGAGGAAUACCGAUGGCGAAGGCAGCCAUCUGGCCUAACACUGACGCUGAGGUGCGAAAGCAUGGGGAGCAAACAGGAUUAGAUACCCUGGUAGUCCAUGCCGUAAACGAUGUCUACUAGCCGUUGGGGCCUUUGAGGCUUUAGUGGCGCAGCUAACGCGAUAAGUAGACCGCCUGGGGAGUACGGUCGCAAGACUAAAACUCAAAUGAAUUGACGGGGGCCCGCACAAGCGGUGGAGCAUGUGGUUUAAUUCGAUGCAACGCGAAGAACCUUACCUGGCCUUGACAUAGUAAGAACUUUCCAGAGAUGGAUUGGUGCCUUCGGGAACUUACAUACAGGUGCUGCAUGGCUGUCGUCAGCUCGUGUCGUGAGAUGUUGGGUUAAGUCCCGCAACGAGCGCAACCCUUUUCCUUAUUUGCCAGCGAGUAAAGUCGGGAACUUUAAGGAUACUGCCAGUGACAAACUGGAGGAAGGCGGGGACGACGUCAAGUCAUCAUGGCCCUUACGGCCAGGGCUACACACGUGCUACAAUGGUCGGUACAAAGGGUUGCUACCUAGCGAUAGGAUGCUAAUCUCAAAAAGCCGAUCGUAGUCCGGAUUGGAGUCUGCAACUCGACUCCAUGAAGU
rnacentral:rRNA from 1 species